CCUACGGGUGGCAGCAGUGAGGAAUAUUGGUCAAUGGGCGUAAGCCUGAACCAGCCAAGUCGCGUGAGUGAAGAAGUAUUUCGGUAUGUAAAGCUCUAUCAGCAGGGAAGAAAAUGCCGGUACCUGACUAAGAAGCCCCGGCUAACUACGUGCCAGCAGCAGAGGUAAUACGUAGGGGGACAGCGUUAUCCGGAUUUUCUGGGUGUAAAGGGAGCGUAGACGGCAGAGCAAGUCUGAAGUGAAAGCCCGCGGCCCACCUGCGGGACUGCUUUGGAAACUGCCCGGCUAGAGGGCUGGAGAGGUAAGCGGAAUUCCUAGUGUAGCGGUGAAAUGCGUAGAUAUUAGGAGGAACACCAGUGGCGAAGGCGUCUUACUGGACAGUAACUGACGUUGAGGCUCGAAAGCGUGGGGAGCAAACAGGAUUAGAUACCCCUGUAGUC
rnacentral:rRNA from 1 species